rnacentral:lncRNA from 1 species
UCUCCUUAAAAUUGUUCGUAUAUAUAUUCAUAAAAUAGAGAUUAGCUACAAAAUAAUAUAAAAAAUGUCGACGAGUCGAUCAAGUCGAGGUAUAAAAAUCUCACUCUCUUUAAAAGAUUCAAGCCCUCUGCGGUUGGCAAACCUUUGAACUGACGUAGGAGAACACUGACCUUUCCCCUUCACGAUACAACGGCUCAACCUUUGCCAUAUGGUUUCACCAACUCUGCAUAAGUGAAUAAACUCAAAGCUUUACCAAAAGAACUUCUUUAUCCUUCUCUCUCUCACAAGUAUAAUAAAAGUAACUUUUUUACUUUUUC